rnacentral:rRNA from 1 species
AGCAGCCGCGGUAAUUCCAGCUCCAAUAGCGUAUAUUAAAGUUGUUGCAGUUAAAAAGCUCGUAGUUGAAUUUCGGGAUCAAUUUAUUGGUCGUGCUAUUGUACGUACUGGUAUUAUUGAUUCCUACCUUCUGACGAACCACGAUGUCAUUAAUUUGGUGUCAUGGGGAAUCAGGACUGUUACUUUGAAAAAAUUAGAGUGUUUAAAGCAGGCUCACGCUUGAAUACAUUAGCAUGGAAUAACGAAAUAGGACGUUUGAUUCUAUUUUGUUGGUUUCUAGGAUCGACGUAAUGAUUAAUAGGGAUAGUUGGGGGCAUUAGUAUUCAAUUGUCAGAGGUGAAAUUCUUGGAUUUAUUGAAGACUAACUACUGCGAAAGCAUUUGCCAAGGAUGUUUUCAUUAAUCAAGAACGAAAGUUAGGGGAUCGAAGACGAUCAGAUACCGUCGUAGUCUUAACCAUAAACUAUGCCGACUAGGGAUCGGAUGAUGUUAAUUUUUAAUGACUCAUUCGGCGCCUUAAC